UUGUCGAAAACACAUGUUUACUGAAAAUGAAAUGAUACAGAGAAGAUUGGCAUGGUCCUUGUGCAAGGAUGACAGACACACUUGUGAGGCAUUCCAUAUAAAA